rnacentral:rRNA from 1 species
CUACGGGAGGCAGCAGUAGGGGAUAUUGGUAAUGGGCGAAAGCCUGAACCAGCAACGCCGCGUGUGCGAUGAAGGCCUUCGGGUUGUAAAGCACUUUUGACUGGGACGAGGAAGGACGGUACCAGUGGAAUAAGCCUCGGCUAACUACGUGCCAGCAGCCGCGGUAAAGCGUAGGAGGCGAGCGUUAUCCGGAUUUACUGGGUGUAAAGCGCAUGCAGGCGGUUCGUUAAGUUGGGUGUGAAAGCUCCUGGCUCAACUGGGAGAGGUCGCUCAAGACUGGCGAACUAGAGGACGGUAAGGGGAAGCGGAAUUCCGGGUGUAGUGGUGAAAUGCGUAGAUAUCCGGAGGAACACCAGUGGCGAAGGCGGCUUUCUGGACCGCACCUGACGCUCAGAUGCGAAAGCUAGGGUAGCAAACGGGAUUAGAUACCCUUGUAGUCC